AUUGAACGCUGGCGGCAUGCCUUACACAUGCAAGUCGAACGGUAACGGGCCUGCGGGUGCCGGCGAGUGGCGAACGGGUGAGUAAUACAUCGGAACGUGCCCGAUCGUGGGGGAAAACGAGGCGAAAGCUUUGCUAAUACCGCAUACGAUCUACGGAUGAAAGCCGGGGACCGCAAGGCCUUGCGCGGACGGAGCGGCCGAUGGCAGAUUAGGUAGUUGGUGGGAUAAAAGCUUACCAAGCCGACGAUCUGUAGCUGGUCUGAGAGGAUGAUCAGCCACACUGGGACUGAGACACGGCCCAGACUCCUACGGGAGGCAGCAGUGGGGAAUUUUGGACAAUGGGCGCAAGCCUGAUCCAGCCAUGCCGCGUGCAGGAUGAAGGCCUUCGGGUUGUAAACUGCUUUUGUACGGAACGAAAAGCCUUCUUUUAAUACAGGAGGGUCAUGACGGUACCGUAAGAAUAAGCACCGGCUAACUACGUG
rnacentral:rRNA from 1 species